rnacentral:lncRNA from 1 species
GUCAAAUUAACUGGUAUAUAUAGACAUUAAACAACUUUUAGUCACUUUUUUAAAAGGUAUUGUCUAUAACAACUUUUAUAGUCACACUCUUUUUAAGGUACUAUAAAAUAAUCAUCCAAAUUCCAAACCUCCAAAAUGCUAUCUUCAUACUCAAUACCUUACUUCUUCUUCUUCUUUUUUUUUUCUGGAAAUUUGUUUCUCUUAAACCGGAACCCAAAAUGAAACCUUAUGGUCUAUUAUAUUGUACGUGCAAUUAAAACAAAUCUAAAUACCAGUUCGAGCAUCGCAUUAUUUUUAUUAUGAACGUGUUUGUGAUAUAUGUAUGUUUCAAAUGUUUACGUAAAAG